rnacentral:rRNA from 2 species
AGACCCGAAACCCGGUGAUCUAGCCAUGGGCAGGUUGAAGGUUGGGUAACACUAACUGGAGGACCGAACCGACUAAUGUUGAAAAAUUAGCGGAUGACCUGUGGCUGGGGGUGAAAGGCCAAUCAAACCGGGAGAUAGCUGGUUCUCCCCGAAAGCUAUUUAGGUAGCGCCUCGUGAACUCAUCUCCGGGGGUAGAGCACUGUUUCGGCUAGGGGGCCAUCCCGGCUUACCAACCCGAUGCAAACUGCGAAUACCGGAGAAUGUUAUCACGGGAGACACACGGCGGGUGCUAACGUCCGUCGUGAAGAGGGAAACAACCCAGACCGCCAGCUAAGGUCCCAAAGUCAUGGUUAAGUGGGAAACGAUGUGGGAAGGCCCAGACAGCCAGGAUGUUGGCUUAGAAGCAGCCAUCAUUUAAAGAAAGCGUAAUAGCUCACUGGUCGAGUCGGCCUGCGCGGAAGAUGUAACGGGGCUAAACCAUGCACCGAAGCUGCGGCAGCGACACUGUGUGUUGUUGGGUAGGGGAGCGUUCUGUAAGCCUGUGAAGGUGUGUCGUGAGGCAUGCUGGAGGUAUCAGAAGUGCGAAUGCUGACAUAAGUAACGAUAAAGCGGGUGAAAAGCCCGCUCGCCGGAAGACCAAGGGUUCCUGUCCAACGUUAAUCGGGGCAGGGUGAGUCGACCCCUAAGGCGAGGCCGAAAGGCGUAGUCGAUGGGAAACGGGUUAAUAUUCCCGUACUUGGUGUUACUGCGAAGGGGGGACGGAGAAGGCUAUGUUGGCCGGGCGACGGUUGUCCCGGUUUAAGCGUGUAGGUGUGUGUUCCAGGUAAAUCCGGUU